GUGCUUACUUUGGCAGUAUAUAUACUAGGAUUGGAAAGAUACAGAGAAGAUUAGCAUGGCCUCUGCACAAGGAUGACACACAAAUUCGUGAAGUGUUCCAUACUGUU
rnacentral:snRNA from 1 species